GCAGUGGUGGUUCAGUGGUAGAAUUCUCACCUUCCAUGCAGGAGACCCAGGUUCAAUUCCCAGCCAAUGCA
rnacentral:tRNA from 1 species